UUACGAAUAUUUAUAGCAUGUGGAUUAGAAUUUACAAAUUUGAAAAAUUUAAUUGGGUGGCAAUUUAAAGUCAUAAUAGAGGGAUAUGUUUAUUAAUCGAUGGUACACGAAUAUCUUACCUUUUAUGGAAUCACCAUUUCAUACACCUCCGUCUGAAGAGCUUGAUAAAAGCUCUAAAACUUUUAUGGUUAUAAGUCAGGUCAAGGCAUGGACUAUUAAAAGGGCUAAAUGUAUUCUAAUUUUUAAGUCGGUUUAUUCUUGUAAAAGAAUAAUUAAGAAAAAUUUAUAAGUAAUAUUUUUUAUUAAAAAUAUAUGAAUUAGUAACUUUACA
rnacentral:rRNA from 1 species